rnacentral:rRNA from 1 species
AAUCUUGGACAAUGGGCGCAAACUCGACCCAGCCAUCCCGCGACCGUAAAGUAGGCCUUGGGAGUGUAAAGCCCUUUCGGAUGGUAAGAAAUCGCGCAGGCUAAUACCCUGCGCGUUUGGCGGUACCAUCAGAAAAAGCAGCGCCCAACUACGCGCCAGCAGCCGCGGUAAUACGUAGGGUGCGAGCGUUAAUCGGAAUUACUGGGCGUAAAGAGUGCGAAGGCGGUAGAUUAAGACAGGAAUGGAGUCCCCGGGCUUAACCUGGGAGCUGCGCUUAUGACUAGUUCGCUAGAGUACGGAGGAGGGGGGUGGAAUUCCACGUGUAGCGGUGAAAUGCGUAGAGAUGUGGAGGAACACAGAUGGCGAAGGCAGCACCCUGGGCCGGUACUGACGCUCAUGCACGAAAGCGUGGGUAGCAAACAGG